ensembl:lncRNA
UCUGGUUAUUGGGUGGUCCUAUAACUUUUAGAUAAGAAUCAAACCGGAUUAAGUAAACGGCAGAAGCCACCACCUUAAAUAUUAUCUUCAGCUAAAGACAAAGGAGGAUGUUGCUGGGUGGGGGGUGGGGGUGUCAGUUACACGAGGUUACCAGACAGUAAACAACUUAAGUCCUUGCCUUCCCCAUUAAGAGUUUCCAGAGAUAAGGUCAUCCCCGCUUCCUCCUGGUGCAGAGAGGGAGACACCCCCACAGAUGGAGACUUCCUUCACAAAUGCAAAUAUCUGUCAUCAAAGGGCAAGCAAAUUCCACUCCUCAGAGCCUCCUUCUCUUCUGCAGUUUUUAACAGUAACCAGCCUAAAAUAAUCCUCAUCAUCUAUGUUCCACCAUCCAGAAGUAACCAUCUAACAGUGCAUAAUAAACGUGGCUGAAUAUACAUUAUUUAAAAUUUUCCUCAAUUCUGACACUAUUUACCUAGAGAUAGCGUCAGAUUCCUCAGGUUAAUGGUUCAGUCCUACAAGACUGCCCCCUUCAGACGCCAAUCCAAGGCCAGGUGAUCACCUGAGCUUCCAACCAACUGGCUGUAAAUCCAGCUGUAAAUUGGAGGUUCCCACGACCGCCUCCUUGGGUUCGAUCAACUUGCUACAGGGGCUCACAGAACGCAGAGAAGCAUUUUACUCACUAGAUUCCCGGUGUAUUGCACAAGGAUCUAAUUCAGGAACAGCCGGCUGCAGGAGAUGCACAGGGCAGGGUCUGGGGAGGGGGCCCAGAGCCCCCGUGUCCUCUCCGAGCACCUCUCCACCCUCCUCAGAUCUCCACGCCUUCACCCAUCCGGAAGCCGUCUGAACCCUGUUCCUUUGGACUUUUCUGGAGGCUUCAUUACCUGGGCAUGAGUGACGAACUCACUGGCCACUGGUGAUGGAACUCAACAUCAGGCCCCCUCCCCAGCCCAGAGGUCCAGGGGGUGGGACGGAAAGUUCAACCCUCUAACCUUGUGGUCGAUUCUCCUCACCAGCCCCAUCCUUAGGGGCCUUCUCAAAGCUGCCUCAUUAACAUAACAAAAGACACCUUUAUUGCUCUCUCCGCUUAGGAAAUCCCGAUGGUUUUAGGAGCUCUGUGCCAGGAACAGUGACGAAGGCCAAAUAUAUGUUUCUUAUUAUAAAAAUAGCACAGGACUUUUUUUCAGAAACUGACAGGGCCUUUCAAAGACGAGAGCUGUCCACUGCAGUGAAACCUGAGAGGUUUCUGGAAGGUGUUCCCAUCUGUUAGUCUGUUCUCAGCCAGCAGAUAGCUGAGUCCAGAAACCCAGAAACCCAGAACCCCCCUGGGUCCCUGGGGCUGCAAACAGCCCCUGGGUUUGGAGCGGGUGGCUCCCUGGGGCACCCUGGGUUGCAGAUCCAGCCAUCCUUGGGCACCCCAACACCUUCCCAGGGGACCUUGGACAUGUCACUUCCUUUCUCUGGGUCCUUCACUUUCUUUACCUGUAAAACAAGGAUCUGGAAUCACUUCCCUGGGCAGCUUCUGGUGUGGCAGUGUGAGCUUGGGGCGUGAGUCUCAGCUCUGCUUUUGGGAGCCGGGUGCCCUGGUGUGAGGGGUCUCCCUCUCUGAGCUGUUCUCUGUAAAAUGGGCAGAAGCUCACGGGCCCCACUGGGUCUGUGUGUGCUCAGGAAAAGGGCCGGCCCCUGCAGCAGCCCAAGCUAUGGACCUGGCCCCCUGGCUUCCUCUGGAGGGGGAGCCAUGUUACUGCCUACAAACAUACCUUCUUUACCCGCCACACAAGAGGGGCCAAAUAAAAGCUGAACGCCAGGCUUAUGGGAAGGAAAAGGUUUUUAUUUCGGAUGACAUCAGCCAGGAGACAAGAGUGAGCUCUCAAAUUUGUCUCGUUUCAUCUCGUCUCCCUGAAAGAGGGGAGGCGAGGAGUUUUAAAGGUUUGUGAGGAAUGUGGCUGCUUGUAGAGAGGCGAGGGAAGUCAGUGGCCUUGGUGCUAGAGCUUUCCCACCAGCCUGCAUUCGGCCUUGGGAGGAGGAGGUGAUAAGGAAUCUAGGUGGCUGUCUCCAUGGCAGAUAGUGGAUUCCAGAGCCAGGGAGAAAGCAGGGAAAGAGUGCUUUGGUUUUAACCCCACAUAUGCUGGGUUUAACUUAGGGGAACUGAUAUCAGAGCCAGCAUCAGCCUGAGGUUGUUCUGAUCUGUCUGCUCCUCCACUCCUCCUUCCCAGCCCUGGCUUGGCUCCCACCUCACCUUGCACAGGUGUUCUCGCUCACUCUCUGAGUCCCCCAUCCUCGCUUCUUUCCUCAUCCCUGAGCUCUGGCCCUGUGCGGUCUCACCAGGGCUGCUGUGUCCUGCCACAGUGAGCGGGAUGUGGUUCUUAUUUAUAUUUCCAGGGGCAAGUGGCACUUCAAGCUUCUGCUUGCCUCACUGCCUCCCCUAGACUGUUCUGGGCGUCCUGCCUGCCCACCAUCUCCCUGACACGAGAGCUUUCUCUUUCUCUUGUCCAUUAAGUUACUCAGGCCCAGAGAGAGACUGUGUUCUGAUGAGGAAUCCAAAGCUGAGUCCUAAUCAGUGGGCAGGAUGCUGUGAUCAAUUAGCAAUGUCUGUCAAGGGUGCAGGAUAGGAGAAGGUGGCACAUGAGUCAGCUACCUGAUGUCCCUGGUGGUUGCCAACUGCUUUGGAGAAACUGUGUGAAACAGGGAGGAGCCAAGAGGACUACGAAAGUUUCAUGCAGCCAUCAGGCAAGAGGCUUCUCUGGGUGGGAAGAAAGAAAGGGGUGUGCCUAUGGGAGAGUGGAGCCCUUAAUUAGAACUCCAGAUGAACAGCAAGUCAUGAUUUAGUAUAAGUUUGUCCUAUACAGCGUUAGUAAAUCUGAGAAGCUGACCUCUGCAGCCUCAUUUGUCCAGCAGCCCAGGGAGGUCCCUUCACGAUCAUGAUAUCAAACUUGAAGUGAGUUCGCUCACGUGCUGUGCAGCAAGCCAAUCUCUGACACCGGGGUAGUGGAAGAAAGCAGGAAUUUCAUUAUUGUACAGCGCUGAGCAAGAAGACGGGGCAGCUUCCGCUGAAAUCUGAAACUCCCUGAAAAGCUAAAAGGAAGGGUUUUUAUUUGGGGUUUUAGGUAGGGGAGAGGGAGCAUAUGGCCUUGCUGGUCGGAGCUUUCCCACCAGCCUGUCUUUGGCCUUGAGACUACUUGCAGAGAGGAGGGAGCCCAUGAUCUUGUUAGUCAGCAGCUUUCCCACCAGCCUGUAUCUCUUUGUGGGGAGGAGAUGAUCCAGGUGCUUGUCCUUGGCGGUGUCUGUCUCCAUGGUGGACAGUGGAUUCUGGAGCCAGGGAGUAAGCAGGGAAUGAGUGUUUUGGUUUUAACCCUAUACAUGCUGGGUUUAACGUGGGGAGACUGAUAUCAGGGUCGGUAUGAAUCAUGAGGUUUCAGGUCGUCGCCGUGAAUCUGGUCACAGUGGCUCUCGCCUGACCCUGUCCUCUUUGCUGUGAGACUGGAAUAGACGGGUCACCUAGUUGAUUUACCACGUCUGGUUCUGAUGCAGGGGUGCUUAUGGAGCACCCGCUGCGCCCCAGAACUUUACAGCCGGGUCCUCAUCCGAGGGGAGACAGCUGUGAGAGUCACGUGCUCUCCGCCUCAGGGGUGAAGAAGCUGGGCUCAGAGCGGCACCCGGCAAUGCUGCUGCGGCCACACAGAGGGGGACACAGGACUAGUGGGUUUCCGGGUGCAGCUCCCCACCCUGCCCUCUCCUUUCACAAGGUGCUGCCCAGUGGGGGCCUGCUGCCCUUUCUGGAUUCUUCCUGCCAGGCCUUCUGCCCCUUGAUGAUCUCACACCUGAAUGAACUGAGUCAUUUAUGCAACAUUCAUUCACUCACUUGGUGAGUAUUUAUUGAGUACCCACUAUGUACCAGGCGCAGUGCUAGGUGGUAAGGAUAGACUGGGGAAGAAGGCAGGAGGGGAGAGACGACAGAAAUGAUCACACAAACCAUUAUUCGGUUGUAAAGCAAGACAAGGGCCCCCAAAAUGCAGUCAGUGUGUCUAAACAGGAGACUGAGCCUCAUCUCAGAGUAGAGGAGGGAAACAGUCUGGGAAUGUGAGCCACCCUUCCUUCUCAUGAGCCUGCCUGCCUCUACCUGCCUAUUCAUCCUUCCCCAUAAUGAGCAUCCCAAGGCUCAGAGAGGGGCAGUAACCAGCCCAAGGUCACACAGCCACUUGAGACCUUUGGCCACGUUAGGUCCUCUCAGAAUCACUCAUCUUGUCUUAGUGCUGUCAAGAGAAGAGUCCCUGCUCUGCUGCUUCCUGGCUGUGCGACCUCGGAGGAGUCCUAUCUCCUGCCUGGGCCUCAGUUGCCCCAUCUGUAAAAUGGGGACUGUGGUACCUCCUGAGUUAGCUAGCACUUGUAGGAGAAAGCAGUGUGGUAUAUUGAAAAGCUUGAUGCAGAUAUUUCUUCUUAAUGUGUCUUAUUAGUGAUGGCCAUAAUAAAGUCCUUUCAGGGACAAGUUAGUCACAUUAAACAGUCCAGACAUGCAGUGGAGCCUCUCACCGUGAAAGAGACAAAGCUGGGAAAGCCGCAGCUCUGGACGGUGCACGGGGGCUGCCUCUCGGCCCCGAUGCCCAUGCACCUCUGGUGUUCUCUGGGCCAGCCGAUCCUGUGCAGCCAGGCCUGCAAGGGUUGUGGCCAAGCACCGGGCCUGCCGGGAGUGUCUGGGGAAUACGGAUGCCCCCAACUUGUUUUUUCUUUAAUCAACUUUACUUUGUAUUCAUAAAUAUUAUGACAGGUGCUAGUGAUACAAAUAUAAGUAAG